CAUGAUAAUUAUGUUCGCAGCAUAGUAUCAUAGGAAUAUACAAAUUGCUAAAGUACAUGAUUUUUCUUUUACUUUAGUAUGCUUUUGUAAGCUUCUGACACAUACUUAAAUACUCAAACUCAUGUGGAAUAAAGGUCUUAAUCGCAUAAUUAACAUUGUAAACCACAUAAAAGGGAAGCUCGAUUUGUCUGCCUUUAAUUAAUUUUCCUUAACUAUUUGCUGGAAUAAACAAUGAUCUUUUAAACGCUUCAACGAUAAAAGUAAUAAGCUGCUUUACAAUCUCAGCACAAAACUAAUACAAAUGAAUUCUUUAAAACUAUAAGAAUAUCAAGUUUUGAAGUUUCAAAUAAAAUACUUUCUUGCAUAUUUGAUGACUGGAAUCAUGAUUAAUUAAAAAUGUAUUUUUUUUAUUUGA